AGUGGCGAACGGGUGAGUAACGCGUAGGCAAUCUGCCUUCUAGAUGGGGACAACAUCCCGAAAGGGGUGCUAAUACCGAAUGUUGUAGUAUUUCCGCAUGGAGAUGCUAAUAAAGGUGGCCUCUGAAUAUGCUACCGCUAGAAGAUGAGCCUGCGUCUGAUUAGCUAGUUGGAGGGGUAACGGCCCACCAAGGCUUCGAUCAGUAGCCGGUCUGAGAGGAUGAACGGCCACACUGGGACUGAGACACGGCCCAGACUCCUACGGGAGGCAGCAGUGGGGAAUCUUCCGCAAUGGACGAAAGUCUGACGGAGCAACGCCGCGUGAGUGAAGAAGGUUUUCGGAUCGUAAAGCUCUUUCGUCAGGGACGAACGUAUUUCUUGUAAAUAAUGAGAGAUAGUGACGGUACCUGAAUAAGAAGCCACGGCUAACUACGUGCCAGCAGCCGCGGUAAUACGUAGGUGGCAAGCGUUGUCCGGAAUUAUUGGGCGUAAAGCGCGCGCAGGCGGGAUAUCAAGUCUGUCUUAAAAGUGCGAGGCUCAACCUCGUGAGGGGACAGAAACUGGUAUUCUUGAGUGUCGGAGAGGAAAGUGGAAUUCCAAGUGUAGCGGUGAAAUGCGUAGAGAUUUGGAAGAACACCAGUGGCGAAGGCGACUUUCUGGACGAUGUCUGACGCUGAGGCGCGAAAGCUAGGGGAGCGAACGGGAUUAGAUACCCCGGUAGUCCUAGCCGUAAACGAUGGGUACUAGGUGUAGG
rnacentral:rRNA from 1 species